rnacentral:rRNA from 1 species
UGAGUACGAGACACUACGGUGUCGAAGCAGUCUAUGUCAUACUUCCAAGAAAAGCUUGCACUGUCAUAAACAAAUAAUGCCUGUACCAUAACCGACACAGGUGGGUAGGUAGAGUAUACUAAGGGGCGCGAGAUAACUCUCUCUAAGGAACUCGGCAAAAUGACUCCGUAACUUCGGGAGAAGGAGUGCCUUAUAUUUUAUAAGGUUGCAAUAACAAGAUCCAAGCAACUGUUUACCAAAAACACAGGUCUCCGCUAAGUCGUAAGACGAUGUAUGGGGGCUGACGCCUGCCCAGUGCCAGAAGGUUAAAGAAGUUGGUUAGUAUUUGCGAAGCUGAUAACUGAAGCCCUGGUGAACGGCGGCCGUAACUAUAACGGUCCUAAGGUAGCGAAAUUCCUUGUCGGGUAAGUUCCGACCCGCACGAAAGGCGUAAUGAUUUGGAUACUGUCUCGGAGAGGGACUCGGUGAAAUAGACUUGUCUGUGAAGAUGCGGACUACUUGCACCAGGACAGAAAGACCCUAUGAAGCUUUACUGUAACUUGAAAUUGAAAUUGGACUUUACUUGCGCGGUAUAGGUGGGAGGCUUUGAGAAUAUUCUUGCGGGAAUAUUGGAGCCAUUAGUGAGAUACCACUCUGGUAAUGUUAGAUUUCUAACUUUGUAUCAUUAUCUGGUCAAAGAACAGUUUCAGGCGGGCAGUUUGACUGGGGCGGUCGCCUCCUAAACGGUAACGGAGGCGCACAAAGGUUUCCUCUGAACGGGUAGAAAUCGUAUCUAGAGUGUAAAGGCAUAAGGAGGCUUGACUGUGAGACCUACAAGUCGAGCAGGGACGAAAGUCGGUCUUAGUGAUCUGACGGUGCUGAGUGGAAAGGCCGUCACUCAACGGAUAAAAGUUACUCUAGGAUAACAGGCUGAUCUCCCCCAAGAGUUCACAUCGACGGGGAGGUUUGGCACCUCGAUGUCGGCUCAUCGCAUCCUGGGGCGGUAGUACGUCCCAAGGGUUGGGCUGUUCGCCCAUGAAAGCGGUACGCGAGCUGGGUUCAGAACGUCGUGAGACAGUUCGGUCCAUAUCCGGUGUAAGCGUUAGAAUAUUGAGAGGAGCCUUCUUUAGUACGAGAGGACCGAGAAGGAUGCACCGCUGGUGUACCAGUUAUUGUGCCAACAGUAAACGCUGGGUAGCUAUGUGUGGAGUGGAUAACCGCUGAAAGCAUCUAAGUGGGAAGCCCACCUCAAGAUAAGUAUUCUUAUCACGUAAGUGAAUAAGGUCACGGUAAGACUAACCGUUUGAUAGGCAUUAAGUGUAAAUCUAGUAAUAGACGAGCUGAGAUGUACUAACAGACCGAAGAC